AAAAAAGAAAACGCCAACACCGCCCCCUCCACAGCUUCCUCUGACGGGCGUCAACAGGCGGACGGCCACCUCGGGAGGGCGCCACCGCCGCUGCCGUCCCCUCCGCCGCAGGUUAUUUCAGCGUUGGGUUGCUGGUCUAGACGAUUGAAGGCUAACAAGUCAGCAGCUUACUACAAGAACAAAGUAGUGAAGAAUUGGGAUGCAAUCAGUACCAUUUAUUCAAAAGAUCAUGCCAAUGGUCAAGGUGCUCAGACAGGUGCUGAGAGUGCUCAAGUUCUACCUGAACAAGUUGAUGAUGCAUCACCAGAUUUGCCCCAAAAGAAGCAGCGAACUGGUGAGGCCAUUCUAUCUAUACUAGGAGAUAUGA